rnacentral:snRNA from 1 species
ACAGCAUUACAGCAAGACAUUGU